rnacentral:lncRNA from 1 species
GACUUCCCUUCCUGUCCUCAGCGGCCGGGCCCACGGCCCCGAGCAGCCAUGCUGGGCGCGCGGGCCUGGUUGGGCCGCGUCCUUCUGCUGCCCCGCGCCGGUGCAGGCCUCGCCGCGAGCCGCAGGUCUGCCUGCAGUCCCACUUCCAGGCUGAACUCCCUGAGGUCUCUGAUUCCCUAGGUGUCCUGGAGUCUGGCCCAGGACCUGGCCCCACAGGAGUCCCAGCAGGGGUAGCUCCUCCCGGGACAAGGACCGAAGUGCGACGGUCAGUAGUUCAGUGCCCAUGCCUGCUGGAGGGAAAGGAAGCCAUCCUUCAUCUACACCCCAGAGGGUCCCCAACCGCCUGAUCCACGAGAAGUCACCAUACCUCCUACAACAUGCCUACAAUCCUGUGGACUGUCGGGUACUCCACCUGCCACUGGUGCCACAUGAUGGAAGAGGAGUCCUUCCAGA